rnacentral:rRNA from 1 species
GCGUUAUUCGGAAUUACUGGGCGUAAAGCGCACGUAGGUGGCGACGUAAGUCGGGUGUGAAAGCCCCGGGCUCAACCUGGGAAUUGCAUUCGAGACUGCAUUGCUGGAGUACGGAAGAGGAAGGCGGAAUUCCCGGUGUAGCGGUGAAAUGCGUAGAUAUCGGGAGGAACAUCAGUGGCGAAGGCGGCCUUCUGGUCCAGUACUGACACUCAAGUGCGAAAGCGUGGGGAGCAAACAGG